rnacentral:rRNA from 1 species
UACAGAGGUGGCAAGCGUUGUUCGGAAUUACUGGGCGUAAAGGGCGAGUAGGUGGCCAUCUAAGUCAGACGUGAAAUCCCCCGGCUUAACCUGGGAACUGCGUCUGAUACUGGACGGCUAGAGUAUGGGAGAGGAAUGUAGAAUUCCAGGUGUAGCGGUGAAAUGCGUAGAUAUCAGGAGGAACACCGGUGGCGAAGGCGGCCUUCUGGACGGCUACUGACACUGAGACGCGAAAGCGUGGGGAGCAAACAGG